GAGUGGUAUAAAAGAGUCUACCAAUGCUUCUGAAGAGCAGUGACAUAUGAAGAGCAGUCUUGGGGAAUCAUGAAGAGAACAUUCUGGAACCAAAUUACUAAGGCAACUUAAGCCAAGGAGAAACCAGGUCCAUCUGCUCAGCACACGGUGGGUUGCGCACAUCUCCUGCUGUGCCUGGGAUUGCUGCUGACACAGCUGGCAGCAGCCAGCACCCUGUGCCCUGCCAGGUGCUUCACACACAGCUGCUGGGAUGUAGCUCCUGAAGUUGCUGAUGCACACCAUGAUAAAACCACAUUGCUUCUGGGUGCAGAGGGAAUGCAUGAUGACUUGAGCUGCUGUUUUCUAGGCCAUCAUGUCAUUUACUGCGGAAGCCAAAGGAGAGCAGUUGAUGCAAGCAAGUGAGAGUAUGGAGAUGCACCCAGGACAGCAGGAUCUGGCUGUGGAAAGAGCUUUGGAGUCCUCAGAUACACUGUGGCUUAGCCAGGAGAGGCACCCAAGCUAUCAAACAGAGGAUGAAAAACAGGAGCACAGCAAUGCCUUUCUCAGAGCUUCCUUCUCUCAGCAAUUCAAAGAUAAGGAGUCAGCACUUCCAAAGAAAGAAUUUACAUAUAAUACAUUCAGGCUCUUUAUUUCACUUUCAGAUUAGGAACCUUCAGGGUUCAUGUUUUCGGUUUUCCUCCAAAAGACCUGCUGCACAAUGAAACCUGAUGUUCUGAUGUUGUUCUGGGGAGGUGGAGCAGUAGGAAAACAGCUGGCACAUCAGCAGCCAGCAGCAUUGCUCCAGCGGAUCUCUGCAUGGCCCUGGUGCUGAGUCAGCGAGAGAAUGCUGCAGGGCUGCUGGAGCAAACUCAGCAUGCCCACUGCUCCACUGGAAGGAAACUAGCAGCAUCACCUGUCCACCUGCAGGAAUAGGAGCUGCUCUGUGGGUUGAAAUGCCCUGUGGACUAUUUACCAGUGUAAAGUGCACACUGUUUGGGUCCACGUGAUCGUAGAAUCAUA